GUAUACACAUUUGAGGCUGGUAUGUCAAACCAAGAACGUGCUUUCAGGAGAUUUUCUUGUCCAACUUAAGAGAAUUGAAGCCAGAACUUUGUAUUACAGCAGCAUAUGGGAAUAUUUUACCUAAGAAAUUUCUCAAUAUACCUCCAUUAGGAGAAGAUCCUAUGCCACCGCCACCACCACUACCAGCCUCAGUUUGUUAGAGCGUUUAAUUUUUGUAAUAUUAAGAUUUUACUCGUAUAAUAUUUGCAUAAGUAUUUGGGUUUGCUUAAGUAUGAAUUUUUUAGUAUUUUGUUUGGAUUCUAAUAUGUAUUGAAAUAUUUAGAGAUUUUUAAAUUAA